ACAUCACAAAGAGAAGCAAAGGAAGGCUCAGUGUGGGUCAGGGUGUGAGUGUGGGGCUCCCCUAAUCACUCCCUUAUCUCUAUGGCCAUGGUCACCUGGAGACCCAGGUGGGCUUCCUCAAGGAGCUGCUGCCUGAACUGGGUAAGGUAAGGAAGGGAGGAAAGGUCUCAGCCAGGGAGAAUGGCAUGUGCAAAGAUAGGGAGGCAUGAAAUAGCAUGGCUCAGUGUAUAAACCCUCAGGGAGUUUGGAGUGGCUGCAAAGUACAGGGUGGGUGGGAGAUGAGACUGGAGAGGUGGGUCUUAGAAAUGAAGCCAGAGGCCCUAAUAAACCAAUCAUGAUGCUUGUUUUGGGGGUUAUUUUAACAGAAGAGUGACAUAGUCAUAUAAGAGUUUUUAAAAUACAGGGAGUGAAUUGGAGGGAUUUGUCUUUGAAGAAGGAAAGUUACUGCAGUAAUAAAGUAAGAAGUGACGAAAGGAAGCAGUAGCAGGAGGAAUAGAGAGUAAGGAAAUAUUCUAGUAGUAGCAUUGACAUUGGUGACCAGUUAGCACUAUCGACAUUUGAUGAGUGCUUACUAUGUACCACAUAGUGGGCUAAACAAAUGUGUUAACUCAGUCAACCUCUACAACAGCCUAUUAUUAUCCCCAAUUUACAUGUAAGGAAAUCGAUUCACAGAGGGAUGAAAUGAUACGUCCAAAGUCACACAGCUGGUAAGCAGAGAAUCUGAAGUUCAACCUGUUCAACUCUUGACUCAUCAUUUUUCUCCCUACGUUGGUUCUUCCCUGGUUCUUCCUGGCACCACCAACCCUCACACCAGAAGUCUUAGAGCCCUGGUCCCGAACUCAGGUUUCAGAGUUGGUGGCUCUGAGAUGCUGGCAGGGCAUCAGAGUUGGCUGGAACCUUGAAGAACCUCCAAGAAUCUUGGAAGGAGGAUGCUGUCUCAGAAACAAAGAGAAGCAAAGAGCUUUACAGAGGAUGAAGCAGCCAACGCGGCCUAAAGCAGCAGGGAGGUCUAGAAAGAUAAGGACCAAAAAACAUAGCAACAGCAAAGUCACUGCUAAAUUCUACCCCAGCACUUUUAGUGGAGUUGUGGAAGAAAGCAAAGUUUAGACUGCAGUGGGAUGAGAAGGAAAAUGUUUUCAUGAAGCUUGGCUGUGAAACAAGGGAGAUCACAUCACAAGGUCCACACAAGUGUUUAUUGUUGUCAUUUCUGGUUUUUUAAGCAGUGAAGAAACACAACCAUGCUUAUAGCCUGAGGAACAGGAAGAAGACUGGAGAACUGAAGGAAUGCAUUUCCUGAAGGGAUGAGAGGCCAAGGAAUCCAGAAAUGAUGGUGGGGGUAUAGGAAAAACAUGGAAGGAAGAGAGAGAGAAUGCAGCAAAACUGGGUAAAAAAGUUCUGCUCCAAGAUCUCUAAGGUCCAAAAAGUUGAGUGACUUCCCACCUGAUGGCCUCUAUUCACUCUGUAAAGUAAGAGGGGCUUCAUCUGCUGAAAAUUCAUGGAGAGUUAGGAAGGAGGAGAGCUAGUUGUUAAAUUUUCAGAAAUUCUGUGCGUGGGUUGUUAAAUACAGCCACUAAAAUGGGAGUCUUGGUGAGAGCAUUUACACCAUAAAAACUGGCAAGUGUCUUUUUCUUUUUUUUCAGAGCCAGUUUAUCAGCACACCACUGGGUUGGGGGCUUGAAUAAAGAGAUGGCUCCAAAAGGGGAUGAAGGGAACAGGAGGCAGUAUAGGACUGUGCGGGAUGACCUGACAUCAGUGAGGAACUUUGGAAGUGCUAUUCCUCCCCUAGCAGCUUGGCAGGCUGGGUGUAGAGCAGCAAAGACAGAUGGCUGGAUGGAGCUAAAACCUGAGAGUCUGCAGGAUGAGUGUGGUGGAGGGUAAGAGCACAAAAGCAUUGAUUUGACCAGCAAUGGUUUAAGGGGAUGAGCUCUGGAGCUUAGCUUGGAUAAGGAAGGAAAGGAGGCCAAUUGGAGGGCCACUAAGUUGGGAGAAGUGAUGAGAUGAUGGAGGUAACAGAAGGAACAGUGGUAAUGGAUACUGCAGUUUUAGCUUUUCGAGAUGGAGCAACCUCAUAGUGACAGUAUCAAGAUUGUAGCCAUGGAUGCGGACAUCUGAAGCAGAAUGGAGGUAAGACUUAUUGGGUUCAAUCUUUCUAGAUGCAAAAUUCUUGUAACUGUAAGGCCUUGGUAUUGGUUGGUUUGCUCAAAGUGACAUAUAAAGUUGCCCAGAAGGGUGGCAGGUCUUAAGGUAAGGACAGAGAUGGUGAUCCAUUUUGCUGGUGAUGAUGUGUCACUCUGAGAGGUUGAGUAACUUGCCCAAGGUCACACAAUCAGUAAAUGACUGGACCCCAAGCACCCUGGCCUUCUCCUGACUUCACUUGAGCAAUCUGGCCUUCUGGAACUCUGCCAGAGUCCCCCUGCCCUGCGAUUCUCUAGAUCCUAGCUCUUCCACUCAGGGGUGAGAACCAAGAGCAGGGACAAAACUUCCUUCCACUCUAAGCAUCUUUUGUGGAGAACAAUUUGUUUUUUUACAUUCUCCUUUUCAUUAUUUCCCUCCACUGAACUUAGAAAAGCCUCUUCAAAAGACAAUGGGCUUCUUGUUGACUUUGGGGAAGGAAGGGGACAUUAUAAUGGCACUUUGGUUUUUUUUUUAAAAGGGAGUCUUUUAGAGAUCUAUACUAAAAUAUUUACAGAUGAAACGCUAUGAUGUCCUGGAUUUACUUCAAAAUAAUCCAGGCCUGGGAGUGGGAGGAGGCAUGGGUAGGUACAUAGAGCAAAUAAGAUUGGCCAAGAUUGGUAAUUGUUAAAAUUGGGUAAUGGGGGACAUGGAAUCAUUAUUCUCUCUAUCUUUGUAUAUAUGGUUUGAAAUAUCUAUAACAAAAGCCAGUUGUCUGAUAGGAUUGUUAGCAAAAAGCAGAAGUCAUCAUGGGCUGCAUGCAUUGAUAUAAAAUGUUCAGGACAAGGGAGGGUGGUGAUCUGAGAGACCCCACUUGGAGGGCUAUGCUCCAUUCUGGGCCAUACAUUGUGAGAAGGCCUUUGACAGACAGGAGCAGGUGUAGAGGUGCCAUGGCGAAGGGACUCCAAAUUUUGACUCAUUUCUCUCAGCUGAAAGAACAGGGGUGCUCAGCCUGGAGAGGAAAGAUGGAGAAGGCAGGAAGAGUUGUUCUCACUCACAGGGAGGGCUGUCUGAGAAGAUGGGGGUCUGUCUCAACAUGGAUCUGUGUUCACACAUACCCUUUGCAGGCUCCGCCCAGGGGCCUUUGGCCAAACUUUUCCCCUGAGCCUCACUACCCUCUCUAAACUACGCUUUUCCCCUCAAAGCUCCCCCAGCUUAGGCCAAGAGCAAGCAAUGUGACCUUGCCGGCCAAGUGGGGAUCUGCCAGCUUUGUAAGUCACGAAUGACAUGAAUCUGCUCCUCUCCAUUGGCCCAAAACAUCCUGUUCUCUACAUUCUUCGAUGAGGUCUAACUUGGCUCCAAAACCCCUCCAGGGAAAAGUCUGGGCUGAGGUUGCGCUCCACAUCACACAGCACUAAUCCUUUACAUCUGGACAGAACUGUGCCCUGCGCUCCACUGCACAACUGUCCAUGAGCUCAUCCAGUCCUCCUGACAAGCUCAUCUGAGAGAGAAAGCUGGGGGCAGGACCAGGGACCCCACAACCAUCCUGCACUGCUGCUCCCUCCCCUACACAUAUCCUCAUGGCAUUGACCUCAACUCAUGACGGCAGAAAAUACACUGGAGACACUGUUCUCAGCCUGGCUUGGCCACUAAUUGGUGGAGGCCUGUGGAAACUUCCUUCUCCCUGAGGCUCUGCUGCCUCCUCUGUAAUACAGGGUGGGGUAGGCUCGAGACACUGCCACCCACAUGUAGUUCACGAUUCUGCUAUCUUUCAAAGCCUACUGAGAGGCCUCAAAAAUUAGCUACAAGGACAGAACUGGGAUGAGUCAAAGAAAAGUUUCUUCUUAGGCCAGAAGCUCCAGCAAGGCAAGACCUGGGUGUCACACACACACACACACACACACACACACACACAAUAAUGCCUGCUUUACGGGACUUUUGGAAAGCUCAAACAAUAGUAGGAGUGGGGAAAGCUGAAGGAUUACCAUGACCACCCUUGAGCAGCCAAAGCUGUGGUUUCUGUGUUCCUUCCUUCCUUUGCUCCCACCCUCCGUGCCCUGGCCAGUUGGGAAAUGGACUUUCUUGGAUGCUGGGUUGUUUUCCCUGGCCUGCCUCCAGUUCAGGGCCUGUGUGCACCCUGGAUGGCAGCCAUGGGUGGAACAUUGUGCACUAGGGAGAGCAGGCUGCUGGUGGAAGCCAGAGGCCCAGGCAGAGGUGCUAGAGCCCAGAGGCCCAGGUGGAGGUGCUGGGAUAACUUCUCUAGUUAAAGAGACAUAGCCACUGCGUCCUGGUCCUCAGAGGUGGGAAGUACGGCCCCCUCCCACUCAUAGGCAUAGAAGACCUUUUGUAUUUGGGACCCAAACACUAAGAAGGUGCCUACAACUCAAAUGAUUUCUGCCAUGCUGGAUGAUGACAAAUACUUUCUCGGUGGUGACCCUGAGGCGUGCUGCUGUGCCUCCUGAAUCAUCAAAGACAUAAUCUAUUCCACCAGGAACAAUUGUCACUUUGGGGUUAAUUAUAUUUGACCACAUUCAAUAUAAGAGAAUAAUAAACUUUACCACAUUCAAUAUUUGUAUUAAAAUUUAUGAUUUAUUCAAAACUAUCAGUGUUUUUUUUGUUGUUGUUUUUUGUUUUUUUAACUAGAAGAAUACUAUUUUUAAACAAUUAUAUGAAGAACUCCAAUCUGUGGAAAUGCUCUGGCUGAAACAGGAGAGAGACCCUCGAGCCCCCAAAGAGAGAGCUCAGAUUCUGAGGCACAUUUUUGUUUCGUUUUGUUCCAUUCUGUUAGAGACAAGUCCUAUCUCCCUCAGUCUCGCGUCAUUUUCCAGAUGUGGAUUUGAGCCCAGCUGACCAGUCUGAGAGCUUACCAAUGUCCUUCCAAUACAUUCAGUAUCUGGUUAAGUUAGUAUUUUUCUUAGGAUACAAACCAGACAGUUGUACAAAGAACUCCCCUCGAUUACAGACGUUUUUUAUUUCUUUCUCAUGUAUUGGUUCAGAGGUAGACUGGCUGGUGGUCAGGGCUGGCAGGCAGCUCCUUGAGUCUGUAUAGAAUCCAGAUUCCUUCUAUCUUGGAAUACUGUUUUUUUAAUCCACUGGGUUAAAAUGUACUACUAGAACACUCCAAAAUUCCACAAUACUGAGAAGGUCUAAACAGCCAUCCAGGAUAAACCUCUCUCCACGUGCUGUGAAAGAACACAAGACUGGGAGUGGGAGACGCAGUCCCAACUCCACUGCUUACUGACUGUGCUCUCUGCCUCUCACUCAGCUUCCUCGUCUGUGAGGGACCUGCUCUGCCCUGUCUACCUUGAGGGACUGCUGUGCUGAUCAAAGGGGAUCCUACCCUUGAAGAUGCCUUGGAAUUGCCAAGUGAUGUGCAAACACCAUGGAAAGCAUUUACCAGGUUGCGAGUUUCCUGAGGGUAGAAAGGGUGUCAGCAAUGCCUGACUGGCCUGCAGAGGCCCUUAGAGGGAGUUCAAGAUUUCCAGGGAGUCAGGAAAGUCAGCUGCUGACCCAGGAAGAGCCAGAAGCUCCCUCUGCUUCCUGAAGCGGGUGCAGAGUCAAGGUCCUGUGCAGGAGGUCUUUGAACAGAAACCAGAGGAUGGAUGCUUGUGACUGUGAACUGUCCACCCAUUAGCAUUUUAGCAGACUAGCAGAGUUCACAAAUUUCUGCAGCUAUAUGUGUCCUGUAUAGUAAAACUUCUUUGACAAAAAUGAACAUGUUCAUUAACAGACCCAGAGAUAUAGGCUCUCUGUAGACGUAAAAAAAGGAGCAAAAGUAUAUAAAGUUAAAUUAUGCUCGGUAUGCAUGUUUCAGUAUUCCACUUUGCUUAGAAAUUAUCCAGGGGCUGGUGCUGUGGCUGAGUGUUUAAGUUUGCACGGUCCACUUUGGCAGCCCAGGGUUUUGCC